rnacentral:lncRNA from 1 species
UACUAAUGAUUACUAAAUUAAGUUUCCAACCAAAAAAAAAACAAAAUCCCAACAAGAUCACUCAAUAUCCAUCCGCAUUUUUUUUUUCCACCAACAAGUGCAUAAAAUCAAUUAGUAUACCAUGAAAAUAAAUCUUGAAUAUUUUGAAACAAAAACACUUAUAAAUUACUCAUAUAUUACCUCAUAUAUUAACUUGGCAACAUGUAGAUUCUACAAUUUCCUUUUCUGAAUCAUUAACUUGCUUCUUUUAAUCCUGCUAUUCCAUGAUGAAGCUCAUACUUCAUUUUCCCUCAAUUAUCACAAAUUGCUUCACCAAAAGUAUUCUAUCAAGUAUUAAAGAAAACACUUAAUAAAUACAUAAGUACUCAGUAAUAAAUACAUCAGUAUUCGGUAAUCAAGACAUGAAUAAUGGUGUCUAGAAAUUGGCAAGCAUAACUUAUAUUUUUGUAAUCUAUUUCAUUGUUUAAAUUUAAAGUGAACAAUACUAUAAUAUACGAUCAAAUACAUUAAGUUAACAAGCACUAUAGCACUUAUAGUGCCCACAUUCAACAAUGAUCGAUUGGACCGAAAGCCAUAAAUUGAAAAAAAAAUGAAAAAAAUAUAUUUAAUGAACUUAGAGGAAAAAUAAAAAUUAUCAACAUUUAAACAUCUAGUGAAGAAAUUAACCAAGCCGACAUGAAAAUAGAAAUAGAAGGCCACUUAACACAAAGUAACUACUCCCUAGACUAGCAAAUUUCCCUUUCAUUUCCCAAAUGAACAAAAAUAUCAAAAACCAAAAUACCAAACUAAACCAAAUCACAAAACCCAAAUUGAGUUUGCAUUUUUCACUUUAAAGCUUUGACGGUAUUAAAAAGUGCAGGCCAAGUGUUUGUCAAAAUGAAUCAAUGAACCCCAGCAGCAAAUGAACAUUCAAUCACCUUCAUGACUACAAAUCACAGAUGCAUUACUCCUACACAAACUGCAAAAUGACAAACAUAAAAAUCAGUGACUUCUUAACGUAUGCUUUAACAAAGGUACAAACAGUGAUAAAUCAAAAUCACCGUAUAGCACCUGAAAACGACUAGAAACAAUGUUAGUGUCCUGGAGGUACUAUGGACGACCAAGAGAAAGGAACGCAAACUUCCACUACAAAUGAGAAAUAUAAUAACAAAAUUAGUACAAAAUCGGGUCUUCUCAUAUUUAUAUUCACUAAUAAGAAAAACUACAAACAUCGUAAUACUAUGAAUAACAUAUUUUUUGAAAAGAAAAAUCAGCAAUGCUAAUAAUAGGAAAUUUCUUUACUGAAUAAUGUGGUAAAGAAUAUGAUUUAUUGAACAUUACAAAUCAUUCACAAGCCCAAAAGAGUGGUUCUAAAAUUGCAUGAUGCAUAAUGCGAAAAAUGCUUGAAAUCUAGCUCUACUAAAACAAAUGACCAGUCAUCCAGUCUUUACUUUUUACUAUUAUAAUAUUUCUACUUCCUAUUGAAGCAAAGGAAAUAAACUUUGGUUAAGGAAAACAUGAUGCACUCCCAAGGAAUAUAAACCUUAGCAAACUCUUCAUCUGGAACUAGCAAUUUCCCCUGUAUUCGAACUUUUAUUUCUUGCAAAGUCUCACCUUCGUGUAUGACUAAGAAAAAUAGUUCACCAAAGUUCUGAAUUUGUUGCCAAAUAGAGAUAGUGCUAAGAUGGUGGGAUAUAAAUGAAGUAUUUGAGAUUCACUAUGUAAAUAGCUUGGAGAGUUAUAAUUACCAUCUGUUUCUGAACAAUCUCUUUUAUAAAGAGAUAAACAUGAAUUAGACGAUCGUGUGGACCAAGAUGCAUGAGCAUUCUCUUUAAGCUUCUACUCUUGAAAUGUUCAAUCAAAUCAUUCAUUAAUUUUAUGUUUAGACUAGAUGCAUGAGCACAUUAGCUGUGAAAAAAAAUUGAACUUUUGACUUCUCGAUUUCAAUUUUUAUGUCUCGACUCUAGAGAGUAAAAAAGGUUAAAGAUCAGAAAAGUAAUUCAAUCAUAAAUCUUACAUCCAACUAACAAAGCAGGAAGUUUUAUCAAGAAGGCAAGUUUUUUUAUUAUAAGACGCAAUUCUCCCAUUCCCGAAGAGGGAUACUAGUUGGCAAGGCUUCUUAUAGCCAAUUAAAGAAAACACAGUACUUAAUAUAUCAAUUUAAUAACUCAUCACAUCACUCAACCCCACACAACACAUUUAAUCUUCUAUAAUAUACCUAACCCCUUAAAACCUCAUAAACUAAACAAAAACAUAUUUACUCAACCUCAUCACUGUUAGGAAAUUGAGCUUCCUCCCAAGAUCACUCCAAGCAAUUUAUCAAGCAACAAAUUAAUAGAAAAAAAUUAAAUGGAGAAUACAUCAAUCACACAACACAAGAUUUACGUGGAAAACUCCAAAUCUGGAGAAAAAUCACGGCCGUUGUCACAAGACAACCAGAGAAAAAUAUUCACUAUAUGGAAAAUUAUUACAACCACUCUCAGAAAUAAUUUUCUCUCACCCAAGCCCCAAAUACAUAAUCCCGAUAAAUAUUCCUUAACAAAGCAAACCCAUAAUACCCAUAUUGAGGAGCCAAAUGCUCCCUCAAUAUAACUACAUGCUUAAGAAUAUUUUUAUCUCUCAAUUCUCACCAAAAUUUGGAUCGCUUCUCUAGGAUUUGGAUACAAAAAUAAGGAGGAGCACUCCUCUAUUUAUAGCCAAAUUAUGACUUCCUUUUCUUCCUUUUUUCCUUCUUUCCAUGGGCAGCACCUACCCAUUUUCCUUGUUCAAUGGCUAGCCACCCACCAUCUUUGAAUUCAAAGAUGGUUGCUCAACCACCCACCAUUUUGACACUUUUUUUUUAAUCAAUUUUCAANNNNNNNNNNNNNUAUCAAAAGGAAACUCACCAUCUGCGAGAAUAUCAGUAUCUUUUUUACUGAUUUUGGAGUAAUUUGCCGAGCCCACUCCACCUUCUUGACAAUUUUCUUGAAGUGCCAAAAUUGUCCACACCUUCAAAUCUUUGUGCAUACCAGAUUGGAUACACCUUUGACUUGAAUUCUCCACAAGCCAAUAAAAUCAUUCUCCCAUUAAUUUUUCAACAAUAUCAAACUCUACCAAGUUUGAAAAACACCAGCUGCUGACAUAUAUGCUUUACAUAAACAGUACCGUAUACCCCAAGUACAAACCGUUGGCUCUGAUACCACUGUUAGGAAAUUGAGCUUCCUCCCAAGAUCACUCCAAGCAAUUUAUCAAGCAACAAAUUAAUAGAAAAAAAUAAAUAGAGAAUACAUCAAUCACACAACACAAGAUUUACGUGAAAAACUCCAAAUCUGGAGAAAAAUCACGGCCGUUGUCACAAGACAACUAGAGAAAAAUAUUCACUAUAUGGAAAAUUAUUACAACCACUCUCAAAAAUAAUUUUCUCUCACCCAAGCCCCAAAUACAUAAUCCCGAUAAAUAUUCCUUAACAAAGCAAACCCAUAAUACCCAUAUUGAGGAGCCAAAUGCUCCCUCAAUAUAACUACAUGCUUAAGAAUAUUUUUAUCUCUCAAUUCUCACCAAAAUUUGGAUCGCUUCUCUAGGAUUUGGAUACAAAAAUAAGGAGGAGCACUCCUCUAUUUAUAGCCAAAUUAUGACUUCCUUUUCUUCCUUUUUUCCUUCUUUCCAUGGGCAGCACCUACCCAUUUUCCUUGUUCAAUGGCUAGCCACCCACCAUCUUUGAAUUCAAAGAUGGUUGCUCAACCACCCACCAUUUUGACACUUUUUUUUUAAUCAAUUUUCAAUAAUCACCUCAAUGUGCAAACAAUAAGCACAUAAGUAAACAAAACAAUGAAUCAACAAAGCAAUAACAAAUAACCUCUUAUAAACUUCACUAAAAAUGCCAUCCUAUAAGCGUUUCCUAAACAGCCGCUCAGCACAUCGGUAGCCUUUCCAAGGAGUGGCUGUAACAGAGCAAAAAAAUACUUCAAUCAAUUUCUAAAGCAAAUAAGAAAUUAAAAAUAGAUAAUUGUACUGCAUAAGUAAUAAUAACAGUAUAAAUUCAUAUAUACACAUAGUGCGAACAGAAAAAUUGAACAAAUUAGAUUAGGAUAAAUUAGCUCAGAAAAGUCGAACAAUCAAUUUCAGCCUUAACAUUUCAAAAAUUUUGUAUGAUAAGCUCUCUGAUUGCUGCUAUUAAUUUACCUACUAAUUUCUAUAUUCAAGUUAACUCAGUUAUUCAUUUAAGCUUACCUUGAAAGGGGAUUGAGGCAAAACGGCAGCGACGGCAGCAGCUCGAUUGCAGUGACGAACGACUGAGUAUUAAUGAUGGCUGGAAGCUGUUAAAGCCCAUGGGUGAUGACAGCUGGAAGCUGUUACAGCCCAUGGGUGAUGACGGUAGCUAUCGGUGACGAACAACUGAGUGUUGAUGAUGGCAG